GGGAGCUGUGGUCACGUGAGCCGGCCCGGCGCGCGCCGUGGAGUUAGACUUUCUGUUUCCCGUUAAUUAACUGCCCAUUUCGGGGCAGAAGGGCUCCUUCCCGGAGCCCUAGGGACGGGAGAACAGUUCCCCGGCGCUGUCCCGGGGGAACCCUGCUCUCCAAGCGCUCCCGUUGCCCUGUAUUUUAUGCGCCCUCCGCCUGCGGUCACCGUCCACGCGCGGUCUUUUGAGACCUUUUGGCUAAAAAAAUGAUUCCAACAGCCACCUCGAGCCUGGAAGGGCUUUGCUGCUUUUCUUAGGGUGACUGCCUUGACACGCUGCUCCCCCAAGUCCUGAACAGCCAGACACCUUUCAGCUGUUUUUCUUUUUUUUUUUUGGCGUUUUCAGACCCUGCAACAAGGGCCCUCUUAGGAAGAGAAAGAGCUGGAGUUGGUUGAAGGUCAUCUGAGAUAUGCUCAGAGGGUUUAAUGUCUCACUAAUGUGGAUUCCUACCCGAGAUGACUGCGUGAUGACUUAGCCUCUGAGAAGGAUCCAUGAGCUGCUGUUGACCAGCUGAGACCUCAGCUCAUCUGAAGUCAGAAGCCUGCACUGUCUUAAAGACACACACCAGCACUUAUAUAAACUCUUGCUCCUUGCUUACUGUAUGAGACCCGCUUACCAGCAAUCUGUUUAUAUAACGCUAAACACAAGGCGUUGCCUGUAAAUCUGAGAUUCCUUCUGAGAAACGCGAACCAAACCCCCUCUCCUUUCUUUGCCCUUAUAGCUUUUAAAGGAGAGUACUACAUUUUAUGUUUUAUUGCCUGAAAAUGGGCUGCCCCUUGCCAGAAACAGGUAAGGACUCUGUAACGUAAGUUCUCUUUCUCCAGGGAAGUCCAAGUUGGCAGUCUUAAUUUAUUCCUGCAUCUAAAAUCUGCUCCCAGCCUGAUGGCAACAGUCCCUCUGCCCUCCUCCCAACCCUGAAUUUGCAGGCUUGGACUUGCUGCUUCCAGCAACUACACUCCUGGCUGGCUCCAGGUAGUCACAUGUCACAGCCUGUGGACCUGGCCUUUGCCUCAGUACAGAAAGCCAGGGAGCGUCAGCUGUUUAACCUCAUCGCUGAGCAGAAAGGGCUCAUCAAGGGGUUCUGGGAAGUGGUCCGUGGGGCCUUUGUCAGACUACGGCAGGCCAGCUCCUGGACAAACACUAUCAUCAGUUCACCUUCCUUCAACACCUCCCACCCCCUGUGUCAGCAGCUAGCUCAUGGUAGGAUUCAGGGAAAGGCAUUAGUAGCUGAGUCAGAAUGACAGAAUCUGAAGGCUUGGAAGAUGAGGCACUCGGCCGAGGUCCGGCUUUCACUUUAGUUAGGUUUCUCCUGGCCUCGGGAAGACAAGAUCAGAGGAGGAAGUACAGCGAGGGUGUUCUAGUUCAUUCUGUUACUAAUAUCAAAAUACCUCAAUCUAGGUAAUUUAAGGGAAUAGAGUUUGAUUCAGCUCACCAUUUUGAGGUCCAAGGUCCUGAGGCCAUAAAUGGUGAGGGUUUUCCUGUUGACACGGUUCUGAGGCCAUGCAGGGCAUUGUAUUGGGACAGCAGAAGAAUGGAUAUCUCUGUCCUUGUCUCUGUCCUCAAUUGUGGGGGGCCCACCCUAAUCACUAAUCUCCUCCCAAAAGCUCCAUCUUUCUUUUUUUUUUUCCCAUCUUUUAAUACCAUGAUUAGAUCAAGUUUUCACCCUCUUAAUCUUGUUACAAUCAAAUCUCAAGCCAUGGCGGGGGAGGGGAGACACACAAACCGUAUCAAGGGGGAGGUUGUUCAAUGUGUGCCAAGCAGUUUUGUAUCUGUGAUUGUUUUCAUUUCCUAAUAAACAGAACCGUAAUAGCAAAA